GAUUUCUGGUAUGGCGUACCUGGCCCGCGCCGUUAGGUUGUGAGUGCCGGGUCGCGCCUGCCAUCCUUCUAGAUAGCAGCUCUACCCCUCACGGGGCCGGAGUUUGCCGUCUAGAUCUUUUACUUUGAAAAAAUUAGAGUGUUUCAAGCAGGCUUAUGCUAUGAAUACAUUAGCAUGGAAUAAUCAACUAGGACUUCGGUUCUAUUUUGUUGGUUUCUAGGACUGAAGUAAUGAUUGAUAGGGAUAGUUGGGGGUGCUAGUAUUCAGCGGCCAGAGGUGAAAUUCUCGGAUUCGCUGAAGACUAACUAAUGCGAAAGCAUU
rnacentral:rRNA from 1 species